AACGUAGGAGACAACCGUUAUCCGGAAUUACUGGGCGUAAAGGGCGUGCAGGUGGUCUGUUAAGUCUGGCGUGAAAGCUCUCGGCUAAACCGGGAGAGGUCGUUGGAUACUGGCGGACUAGAGGACGGUAGAGGCGUGUGGAAUUCCGGGUGUAGUGGUGAAAUGCGUAGAGAUCCGGAGGAACACCAGUGGCGAAGGCGACACGCUGGGCCGUACCUGACACUAAAACGCGACAGCAUGGGGAGCGAACGGG
rnacentral:rRNA from 1 species